CGGGGCAUGGCGCAGUCUGGUUUAGCGCGUUUGACUGGGGGUCAAAAGGUCGCUGGUUCGAAUCCAGUUGCCCCGA
rnacentral:tRNA from 2 species